CAGUUUCGUCAAUCUCCGCAACGUCCGUACACACAUUUCCCCGUACGUUACACGCGCCGCGCUAUUUCAUAAUACUGCAAAAUCUGUUUUCCGCGCAUAGCGUAUUGUACACAAUGUAACAAUGACUACCGGUCGCCUCGCGAUGUUUCGUACGUCGACAAUUUUGGAUUUUAAUUUUCCGUUUUUGUGCGCUAACGAUAAAAUUUACGACCUCCGCGCGGCCCGUAUUGUGCGCUGUUGGCAACGGUUUAAGACGUAACGUUCGACAAUAAAACGUUUUGUUUGCUCCGAGAACGCACACACAGUUUUUACGCGGUUCGCUAACUAUGUAUCGGAUAUGUGAUUUAUAUAAACAAUGAAAUCUCAUACUGCACGCUGCAGCAGUGUGUACGGAAACGUAUUAUAUACAUAUAUUUAUUUAU